rnacentral:rRNA from 1 species
UGGCUCAGAUUGAACGCUAGCGGGAUGCCUUACACAUGCAAGUCGAACGGCAGCACGGACUUCGGUCUGGUGGCGAGUGGCGAACGGGUGAGUAAUGUAUCGGAACGUGCCUAGUAGCGGGGGAUAACUACGCGAAAGCGUAGCUAAUACCGCAUACGCCCUACGGGGGAAAGCAGGGGAUCGCAAGACCUUGCACUAUUAGAGCGGCCGAUAUCGGAUUAGCUAGUUGGUGGGGUAACGGCUCACCAAGGCGACGAUCCGUAGCUGGUUUGAGAGGACGACCAGCCACACUGGGACUGAGACACGGCCCAGACUCCUACGGGAGGCAGCAGUGGGGAAUUUUGGACAAUGGGGGAAACCCUGAUCCAGCCAUCCCGCGUGUGCGAUGAAGGCCUUCGGGUUGUAAAGCACUUUUGGCAGGAAAGAAACGUCAUGGGUUAAUACCCCGUGAAACUGACGGUACCUGCAGAAUAAGCACCGGCUAACUACGUGCCAGCAGCCGCGGUAAUACGUAGGGUGCAAGCGUUAAUCGGAAUUACUGGGCGUAAAGCGUGCGCAGGCGGUUCGGAAAGAAAGAUGUGAAAUCCCAGAGCUUAACUUUGGAACUGCAUUUUUAACUACCGAGCUAGAGUGUGUCAGAGGGAGGUGGAAUUCCGCGUGUAGCAGUGAAAUGCGUAGAUAUGCGGAGGAACACCGAUGGCGAAGGCAGC